rnacentral:tRNA from 1 species
AGGAAUAUAGUUAAUUUAUAAUAUUUAUUUUGCUAAUAAAAGUUAUUUAAAUAAAAAUUAUUCUUA